rnacentral:rRNA from 1 species
AGUGAACGCUGGCGGUAGGCCUAACACAUGCAAGUCGAACGGCAGCACAGUAAGAGCUUGCUCUUACGGGUGGCGAGUGGCGGACGGGUGAGGAAUACAUCGGAAUCUACUUUUUCGUGGGGGAUAACGUAGGGAAACUUACGCCAAUACCGCAUACGACCUACGGGUGAAAGCAGGGGAUCUUCCGACCUUGCGCGAGUGAAUGAGCCGAUGUCGGAUUAGCUAGUUGGCGGGGUAAAGGCCCACCAAGGCGACGAUCCGUAGCUGGUCUGAGAGGAUGAUCAGCCGCACUGGAACUGAGACACGGUCCAGACUCCUACGGGAGGCAGCAGUGGGGAAUAUUGGACAAUGGGCGCAAGCCUGAUCCAGCCAUACCGCGUGUGUGAAGAAGGCCUUCGGGUUGUAAAGCCCUUUUGUUUGGAAAGAAAAGCAGCAGGUUAAUACCCCGCUGUUCUGACGGUACCCAAAGAAUAAGCACCGGCUAACUUCGUG